rnacentral:rRNA from 1 species
UACGUAGGUGGCAAGCGUUGUCCGGAUUUAUUGGGCGUAAAGGGAGCGUAGGUGGACCUUUAAGUGAGAUGUGAAAUACCCAGGGCUCAACCCGGGAACUGCAUUUCAUACUGGAGGUCUAGAGUGCAGGAGAGGAAAGUGGAAUUCCUAGUGUAGCGGUGAAAUGCGUAGAGAUUAGGAAGAACAUCAGUGGCGAAGGCGACUUUCUGGACUGUAACUGACACUGAGGCUCGAAAGCGUGGGGAGCAAACAGG